GACGAACGCUGGCGGCGUGCUUAACACAUGCAAGUCGAACGGAAAGGCCCUGCUUGCAGGGUACUCGAGUGGCGAACGGGUGAGUAACACGUGGGUGAUCUGCCCUGCACUUCGGGAUAAGCCUGGGAAACUGGGUCUAAUACCGGAUAGGAGCCAUUUUUAGUGUGAUGGUUGGAAAGUUUUUUCGGUGUAGGAUGAGCUCGCGGCCUAUCAGCUUGUUGGUGGGGUAAUGGCCUACCAAGGCGGCGACGGGUAGCCGGCCUGAGAGGGUGGACGGCCACAUUGGGACUGAGAUACGGCCCAGACUCCUACGGGAGGCAGGAGUGGGGAAUAUUGCACAAUGGGCGCAAGCCUGAUGCAGCGACGCCGCGUGGGGGAUGACGGCCUUCGGGUUGUAAACUCCUUACGCUAGGGACGAAGCUUUUUGUGACGGUACCUAGAGAAGAAGCACCGGCUAACUACGUG
rnacentral:rRNA from 1 species